CCACUCGAUGGUUUCUCUAUAUGAUCUAUUCUAUUGCUUGCAUGAAACACACUAAACAAAUUAUCAAAUUAAGCCUUUGUACAUGCCAUUUUUUCCUGCCUCUCUUUAGCAAAUUAUGCCAUCUUCUGUAACUUUAAAAUAUUGGUCAAACUUUUUUAAAAAA